rnacentral:tRNA from 1 species
UCCCUGGUGGCUCAGACGGUAAAGUGUCUGCCUACAACGUGGGAGACCCAGGUUCGAUCCCUGGGUUGGGAA